UACAGAGGUGGCAAGCGUUGUUCGGAAUUACUGGGCGUAAAGGGCUCGUAGGCGGCCAACUAAGUCAGACGUGAAAUCCCUCGGCUUAACCGGGGAACUGCGUCUGAUACUGGAUGGCUUGAGAUUGGGAGAGGGAUGCGGAAUUCCAGGUGUAGCGGUGAAAUGCGUAGAUAUCUGGAGGAACACCGGUGGCGAAGGCGACAUCCUGGACCAACACUGACGCUCAUGCACGAAAGCGUGGGGAGCAAACAGG
rnacentral:rRNA from 1 species